CCAAUGAUGCCUAGAUAUUGCAGGGAUCUAGUCUGAAUAGUGUGUGGUCUUACAGUAUAUAUGCCAUAUGUGGUGGACUCUUGAGUGAAUUACAGCCGCGGUUUCAGCUUCAGUGCUGAAGUUUCUAGCCUUUGUGGUUUUAAGUCAGACCCUUUAAUGUUACUUUAACAAAUGUUACUUCAACAUAGUCUUUUGUGGUUAUGCAAUUAUAUAGUUGGUAGCCACCAGCUAAUGGGGAAUGGAAGCUUCUAAUAUUUGAGAUGUGAAUCACAGUCACUUUAUAGAACAUCGGGGAUACAUAUUUAAUAAGCCAUAUAGAAAAUGUCAUCUGCCGUUGGCCAGAUGACUGCUUACUUUAAAAAAAAAU